CACGCCGGGCCACUGAACUCGGAUCUGCUGGGUCCCAGCGCAGCAGUUCCAUCGCAGCGCCAUUAGUCUCUCCCUGUAUGGAUUUGUCUAUCUCCUAUGUCUUUUCCAUCAUCUCUAAACUUGAGUGACUCCUAUGACUAAUGUGAUUGUAAGUCAUAAAACAUUAAGUUAUGACACAAUCAAAUCAAGGCCAAGAAAUUCAUCGUUAGGGUGUAGGCUACAUUCUGAACUCAAAACCAGAAAAGCAGCAUCGCAGGGAAGCGAGAAUUAUUCUGCUUUGAGGUCUGGAACCUGCCAUACAAUAAACACUACUUAAUUGGGACAUGCUUAAUAGGGAUGGCCACUUUAAUGGGACAUCUCCUAGGGAACCUAUUUAUGUUAAUGAGACUGAAUGACAAUGACUGUUCCUUAAGUGGGGCAACAAAAAGGAAAAGCCUCCACUUAACAGGGAUGCACUCAGCUGUUACUCCUUUGUUAAGUGUUUAACCAGGUGUUAAAUAGGUCUGAAAUCCUGAGCUUCCAUCUUUUAAUUCAAAACUGGAAUAUUCAGACACUUGCAUCGGGCUGCAGCGUGGUGUUUGCGUUUGCCCAGCGGUGUUCAGCCACAAAGGAAGGGGCAGGCUGCUUCCAGCUGCGCCAGGGAUAGAAGCACUCUUCUCCAAAGAGCUUAAAGCACCCUUUUCUCCAAGCCUGGAACUACCUGUGGAUUGGAUUAGUUCCAAGAUCCGUUGCAAAAGCCAGAAAUAAAACCCAUCCGCCCUCGUUCUGAACCCUGCGUUUUACCCUCUCACCCCGAAUCUUGCCUCCUCUGCAGCCUGAAUAAAAAGAUGGAAGCCCAAAAAAUAGAAAUAGGAAAGCUCCUUAAGCCUAAGUGAUCCUAAGAUCCCUAAGAAUAGAUGUCUGAAGACUCGCAGGAGCCUCCAAGAGCCUGUAAGCCAUUUUGAAGGUUAUUCUCCUGCCGAAGAUCUUUUGUGUUCUGUGGUUUCCUCAGAAAACUCAGGCACAGGUUUCAGGGAGGGAGGGAACGAGAGACCACGAGAAGGAGCUGUCUUGAAAACAAAAAUCCCAUCUUAGACGACAGCUAUAUAAAUUUGGGGACUCUCCCAGGCAAACCAAGACAUCUGAUUAUGCCAUUGUAUCCUGCUUGGCAAAGGAGAGAGUGAAGGCAAGUGAUAGACGUGAGGGGCAGAUGGAGUUUGCCUAAUGUGUCUGUUCUUUUCUUCGCUGCCUUUUCAAUUUAAGAAUGUAGCAAAAUAGCAGCUGCUCAUAAUUUCAUGAAUCGAGAAGUAUGUAAAUUUCAGCUACAAAA